CCCGAUGAAAAAGGAUCAACCGUCUGACCAGUGAUGACAUCGGUCUUGGCUGAGG
rnacentral:snoRNA from 1 species